rnacentral:rRNA from 1 species
UGGAAUUGCAGAAUCCAGUGAAUCAUCGAAUCGUUGAACGCACAUUGCGCCCCCCGGCAUUCCGGGGGGCA